UACGUAGGGUGCGAGCGUUGUCCGGAAUUAUUGGGCGUAAAGAGCUCGUAGGCGGUGUGUCACGUCGUUCGUGAAAACCUGCAGCUUAACUGUGGGCGUGCGGUCGAUACGGGCAUCACUGGAGUUCGGCAGGGGAGACUGGAAUUCCUGGUGUAGCGGUGAAAUGCGCAGAUAUCUGGAGGAACACCGGUGGCGAAGGCGGCAUCCUGGACCGGCAUUGACGCUGAGGCGCGAAAGCCAGGGGAGCAAACGGG
rnacentral:rRNA from 1 species